ACGGCCUAAAGCGUGAUUAAAUUAUAUUAUAAUAAAUAGAAAUAAAAAUUAACUCAACUGUCGUACGUAUUUGUUAAACGGAAAACCUAAGCCGAAAGAUAAUCUAAUAAACAAAUUAUUUGAAUUCACGAAAGCUGAAAAACAAACUAGGAUUAGAUACCCUACUAUGCUCAGCCUUAAACUUUGGAACCCACCCGCCUGAGUACUACGAGCCACAGCUUAAAACUCAAAGGACUUGGCGGUGCUCUACACCCCCCUAGAGGAGCCUGUUCUAUAAUCGAUAACCCCCGCUAAACCUCACCACUUAUUGCUAAUACCGCUUAUAUACCGCCGUCGUCAGCUCACCAUUUAAAUGAAUAUUAGUAAGCAUAAUGAUAAACAUAAAAACGUCAGGUCAAGGUGUAGCGAAUUAAGUGGAAAGAAAUGGGCUACAUUUUCUAAAUUAGAAAAUACGAAGAAUUUAAUGAAAAACUAUUUAAAGGUGAAUUUAGCAGUAAAAAGAAAACAGAGUGUUCUUUUUAAACAGGCCCUAGAGCGCGCACACACCGCCCGUCACCCUCCUCAAAAAUCAAUAAAAUAUAUAUAUAAUAAAAAGAAAAUAAGAGAAGAGGAAAGUCGUAACAUGGUAAGUUUACCGGAAGGUGUACUUGGAUUAC
rnacentral:rRNA from 1 species